UUUUCUAUAUAUUAAGGAUUACUUUUGUUAGUAGAAAAGUAAAAUAUAUAUGGCGGUUGGAAUGACCUAUUAGAGACGUAUGACUUUUAAAAGAUUUUACACUUAAAUCUUUCUACUUCGAAUAUCCCUUAAACACCUCCGUCUUAACGAUUCAUCCCUUAGGAUGAAAAUCUCUUUACUUGGGGUAAUUGGGUUAAAUUCUAAACAAAUUUAUCACUAAUAUCCUUAGAAUAAGUCAGGUAAAGGUUUAGAGUGUGAUGUAGUUGCUUGUUGUAUGUCAAUUUUAGAAAAAAGGAUAAAUUGUAAUAUUAAAUCCGAAGAGAAUUUAAAAGUAAUUUAACUUAAUUAGGGGUUUUGUGAAAGCCGGGAACUUCACAAUACA
rnacentral:rRNA from 1 species